rnacentral:lncRNA from 1 species
CAGGAGUUACCUACCUUUGAGGAAGUAGCUCUCUUUUUGGGAGGAAAUUGGAAAUGUGUACCUGACAGAAACGUACAGAAAAACAUACGGAGAUUUCCACUUAUUUAUUCUUCAAAGUAGGCAUAGUAUGAAGACAAACAAGUAGCAGAGAAAAGGUCAGUGAAGUCAUAUCAAAGAUCCAAGAGAAAAACAAGGACAAUGCACAGGUGCAAAUAAUUGAUAAAAAAGACUGUGAUAAACCAGAUAAACACAGAAACGAGAGAUAAACAGCCAUACAAGCACAAACCAAGUACAAGUAAUGAAGUUACAGUAAGUGUGAAUAAAUUGUAUUGUUUUUACUUAUGUUCUUAUUCAUCAGUGAUUUUAUUUUAACCCUUACCAUGCUGGCCACAAUUGGUUCUGCUUUUGCGACUAG